GAUGAACGCUGGCGGCGUGCCUAAUACAUGCCAGUCGAGCGAACAGACGAGGAGCUUGCUCCUCUGACGUUAGCGGCGGACGGGUGAGUAACACGUGGAUAACCUACCUAUAGGACUGGGAUAACUUCGGGAAACCGGAGCUAAUACCGGAUAAUAUAUUGAACCGCAUGGUUCAAUAGUGAAAGACGGUUUUGCUGUCACUUAUAGAUGGAUCCGCGCCGCAUUAGCUAGUUGGUAAGGUAACGGCUUACCAAGGCAACGAUGCGUAGCCGACCUGAGAGGGUGAUCGGCCACACUGGAACUGAGACACGGUCCAGACUCCUACGGGAGGCAGCAGUAGGGAAUCUUCCGCAAUGGGCGAAAGCCUGACGGAGCAACGCCGCGUGAGUGAUGAAGGUCUUCGGAUCGUAAAACUCUGUUAUUAGGGAAGAACAAAUGUGUAAGUAACUAUGCACGUCUUGACGGUACCUAAUCAGAAAGCCACGGCUAACUACGUG
rnacentral:rRNA from 1 species